rnacentral:rRNA from 1 species
CGUGGCGGCACUGCCUAAUACAUGCAAGUCGAGCGAACAGAUGAAGUGACUUGCACUCUGACGUUAGCGGCGAACGGGUGAGUAACACGUAAGGAAUCUACCUAUAAGCGGGGGAUAACAUUCGGAAACGGGUGCUAAUACCGCAUAAUAUCUUCUUCCGCAUGGAAGAAGAUUGAAAGACGGCUCUGCUGUCACUUAUAGAUGACCUUGCGGUGCAUUAGUUAGUUGGUGGGGUAAUGGCCUACCAAGACGAUGAUGCAUAGCCGACCUGAGAGGGUGAUCGGCCACAUUGGGACUGAGACACGGCCCAAACUCCUACGGGAGGCAGCAGUAGGGAAUCUUCCGCAAUGGGCGAAAGCCUGACGGAGCAAUGCCGCGUGAGUGAAGAAGGCCUUCGGGUCGUAAAGCUCUGUUAUAAGAGAAGAACAAAUUGUAGAGUAACUGCUACAGUCUUGACGGUAUCUUAUCAGAAAGCCACGGCUAACUACGUG